rnacentral:rRNA from 1 species
UACGUAGGGGGCAAGCGUUGUCCGGAAUCAUUGGGCGUAAAGCGCGUGUAGGCGGUUCAGUAAGUCUGCUGUGAAAGUCCAGGGCUCAACCCUGGGAUGCCGGUGGAUACUGCUGGACUAGAGUGCGGAAGAGGCGAGUGGAAUUCCCGGUGUAGCGGUGAAAUGCGCAGAUAUCAGGAGGAACACCGGUGGCGAAGGCGGGUCUCUGGGCCGAUACUGACGCUGAGGAGCGAAAGCGUGGGGGAGCGAACAGGAUUAGUACUACCGU